rnacentral:rRNA from 1 species
GACGAACGCUGGCGGCGUGCUUAACACAUGCAAGUCGAACGGAAAGGCCUCUUUCGGGGGGUACUCGAGUGGCGAACGGGUGAGUAACACGUGAGUAACCUGCCCUUGACUUUGGGAUAACUUCAGGAAACUGGGGCUAAUACCGGAUAGGAGCUCCUGCUGCAUGGUGGGGGUUGGAAAGUUUCGGCGGUUGGGGAUGGACUCGCGGCUUAUCAGCUUGUUGGUGGGGUAGUGGCUUACCAAGGCUUUGACGGGUAGCCGGCCUGAGAGGGUGACCGGCCACAGUGGGACUGAGAUACGGCCCAGACUCCUACGGGAGGCAGCAGUGGGGAAUAUUGCACAAUGGGUGGAAGCCUGAUGCAGCAACGCCGUGUGCGGGAUGACGGACUUCGGGUUGUAAACCGCUUUCGCUCAUGACGAAGCUUUGUGUGACGGUAGUGGGUAAAGAAGCACCGGCUAACUACGUG